rnacentral:rRNA from 1 species
UGGGGAAUUUUGGACAAUGGGGGCAACCCUGAUCCAGCCAUGCCGCGUGCGGGAAGAAGGCCUUCGGGUUGUAAACCGCUUUUGGUCGGGAAGAAAAGGCUGAGGUUAAUACCUUUAGUCCUUGACGGUACCGGCAGAAUAAGCACCGGCUAACUACGUGCCAGCAGCCGCGGUAAUACGUAGGGUGCGAGCGUUAAUCGGAAUUACUGGGCGUAAAGCGUGCGCAGGCGGUAAGUUAAGUCUGAUGUGAAAGCCCCGGGCUCAACCUGGGAAUGGCAUUGGAAACUGGCUUGCUAGAGUGUGGCAGAGGGGGGUGGAACUCCGCGUGUAGCAGUGAAAUGCGUAGAGAUGCGGAAGAACACCGAUGGCGAAGGCAGCCCCCUGGGCCAACACUGACGCUCAGGCACGAAAGCGUGGGGAGCAAACA